UGGGGAAUAUUGGACAAUGGGGGAAACCCUGAUCCAGCGACGCCGCGUGAGUGAAGAAGUAUUUCGGUAUGUAAAGCUCUAUCAGCAGGGAAGAAAAUGACGGUACCUGACUAAGAAGCCCCGGCUAACUACGUGCCAGCAGCCGCGGUAAUACGUAGGGGGCAAGCGUUAUCCGGAUUUACUGGGUGUAAAGGGAGCGCAGACGGCGAAGCAAGUCUGAAGUGAAAUGCAUGGGCUCAACCCAUGAAUUGCUUUGGAAACUGUUUGGCUUGAGUGUCGGAGGGGUAAGCGGAAUUCCUAGUGUAGCGGUGAAAUGCGUAGAUAUUAGGAGGAACACCGGAGGCGAAGGCGGCUUACUGGACGACAACUGACGUUGAGGCUCGAAGGCGUGGGGAGCAAACAGGAUUAGAUACCCUGGUAGUCCACGCAGUAAACGAUGAAUACUUGGUGUCGGGGAGGAAAACUCUUCGGUGCCGCAAGCAAACGCAUUAAGUAUUCCACCUGGGGAGUACGUUCGCAAGAAUG
rnacentral:rRNA from 1 species